AUCGAUGAAGAACGCAGCGAAAUGCGAUAAGUAAUGUGAAUUGCAGAAUUCAGUGAAUCAUCGAAUCUUUGAACGCAUCUUGCGCUCCCUGGUAUUCCAAGGAGCAUGCCUGUUUGAGUAUCAUUAAAUUAUCAACUGUGCCACUUUGGUUACAGAUUGGAUGUGGGAGAUUUCUUGCAGGCUUUCAACUUCUCUUGAAAGUCAGCUCUCCUGAAAUGUAUUAGCAGUGCCUUUGUUGGUUCAUUAGGUGUGAUAAUUUAUCUACAUCUUCAAAUGGUGCCUUCAUUUGUAAAGGGUCAUAUUGCUUCUAAUUGUCUUUGGACAAAGAAAACACAUAAUGUGUGACAAACUUGAUCUCAAAUCAGGCAGGACUACCCGCUGAACUUAAGCAUAUCAAUAAGCGGAGGAAAAGAAACUAACAAGGAUUCCCCUAGUAACUGCGAGUGAAGCGGGAAAAGCUCAAAUUUAAAAUCUGACAGUUGUUCUGGCUGUCCGAGUUGUAAUCUAGAGAAGUGUUACCCGCGCUGGACCGUGUACAAGUCUCCUGGAAUGGAGCAUCAUAGAGGGUGAGAAUCCCGUCUUUGACAUGGACUACCAGGGCUUUGUGGUGCGCUCUCAAAGAGUCGAGUUGUUUGGGAAUGCAGCUCAAAAUGGGUGGUAAAUGCCAUCUAAAGCUAAAUAUUGGCGAGAGACCGAUAGCGAACAAGUACCGUGAGGGAAAGAUGAAAAGAACUUUGGAAAGAGAGUUAAACAGUACGUGAAAUUGCUGAAAGGGAAACGCUUGAAGUCAGUCGCAUCGACUGGAAAUCAACCUUGCUUUUGCUUGGUGUAUUUUCUGGCUUGAUGGGUCAGCAUCAAUUUUGGUCGCUGGAUAAAGGCUUGGGGAAUGUGGCAUCUUAGGAUGUGUUAUAGCCCUUGGUCGCAUACAGCGGUUGGGAUUGAGGAACUCAGCACGCCGCAAGGCCGGGUCGUUUUACGACCACGUUUACGUGCUUAGGAUGCUGGCAUAAUGGCUUUAAUCGACCCGUCUUGAAACACGG
rnacentral:rRNA from 1 species